UACAGAGGGUGCGAGCGUUAAUCGGAAUUACUGGGCGUAAAGCGUGCGUAGACGGUAUUAUACGGGUGUGAAAGCCCCGGGCUCAACCUGGGAAUUGCAUUCGAGACUGAAUAGCUAGGGUCGGUAGAGGGAAGCGGAAUUUCCGGUGUAGCGGUGAAAUGCGUAGAUAUCGGAAGGAACAUCAGUGGCGAAAGCGGCUUCCUGGACCAGUACCGACGUUCAGGCACGAAAGCGUGGGGAGCAAACAGG
rnacentral:rRNA from 1 species